CCCUUUGUCAGCUGGAAAAGGAAAGGAUUAGAUAUGUGGGUCAUAAAGUGACCUUUAGUACGGUCCCAAGGUGUUUGCUUGUUUGAAGAAAGGCGAAUUGGGGCACCAGAGAAGUAGCCAGUUAACUACAACUCCCGGCAUUCCUCGGCGGGUUGGGUGACGCACUUCCGGCGUCUGGCCCGUGGUGUGGUGGAGGCUCUUGGCAGUCUCAAGGAACCAGGCAAGAGGGUCGUUAACCUUCUGACGCCGCUGGGUCCCUGUCAGCGUUCCAAGGUCGCUUUCCUGUGGCCUUAGCCUUGGGAAUGAGGCUGUUGAGUUAACUUUAGCUCCUUGUGGCCGUCCAGGCGGCACUGUCUGCCACAGGGGUUACGGGACCGCGCUUUCGUAAUUUCCUAAGUUUCUGAGGAGAUGAGAGGGUCGAGGCUGUCCCUGUAAGCAGAAUGAAGACCAAAAGACAUUCAGAAAGGAGAACAGACAAAAGAGAAGUGAUCGUGAACAAGUGCUAGAAAUACAAGAUAGAAACAAGAUUUGGGAAAAGUUUGGGACAGAUGGAAUCUAUCAUUCGAUAAAUACAUUUAGAGGAAGCCUGAGAAAUGACGGUACAAUUUGAAAGUGGAAAGCAGGAAUCAAGGAAGAAAGAACAAUAGACUGGCAGGAUACCAGUUCUACUCCUGCUUCUAGCAACCCAGUGUGUGAAUCUGGAUGUCAAAUGAUCCAAAAGUCUCUGGAGUCCUCUGUGUGACCUUUGAGGACCCAUCAACCUGAAAACAGAACAGGAAGCAGGUGUUUCAACUGUGGAUGCCAUAGUGAUGAGGGAUGAGACAGGAAGUAGUGACAUAAUUUCUCCGGAUUCACACUGUAAGUUUACAGCAGAGGCUAGGGCUGGUUAAGAACUCAGACCAGCUCUUUUCCCAGCUCUGUUCUAGGGCACAAAUGGUAGAAGAUGGACCAUCCCUCCAGGGUGAAAUGUUUAUCAUGGGUUAA